rnacentral:rRNA from 1 species
UACGGGGGGGGCAAGCGUUGUUCGGAAUUACUGGGCGUAAAGCGCGCGUAGGCGGCUCUUCAAGUCGAGUGUGAAAGCUCCAGGCUUAACCUGGGAAUUGCGCUCGAUACUGUUGAGCUAGAGUGUGGAAGGGGCUACUGGAAUUCCGUGUGUAGCGGUGAAAUGCGCAGAUAUCGGGAAGAACACCCGUGGCGAAGGCGGUUCUCUGGGACGGUACUGACGCUGAGACGCGAAAGCGUGGGGAGCGAACAGG